AUGACUUUAUUUGAUGAUAAUCCCACUAUUUUGGAAGAGUGCCAACUUUGCAUGCAUGUGGAUCAUGAAGAGAAUAUUUUAUGUGAUAGUUAUAUUGUUGAAUUUUAUUAUGAUCCUACAUGUAAUUAUUAUGAAAGAGAAAAAUAUGGUUCUAGAAAUUUUCAUGUCACUAAAUUACCUCUCGUUAUGUUGAGAUUGCUAUUGUUUCUUUUUUCUUCCUUGCAUAUGCUAGUUUUUGCUUGUCUUGAUAAUUUGUUUGCUUAUAAAAUGCCUAUGCAUAGGAAGUAUAUUAGACUUAAACUUGUUUUUCACAUGCUACAUGAUGCUCUCUUCGUGAUUCAAUUGCUAUCUUUCAUGUGA
rnacentral:rRNA from 1 species